rnacentral:rRNA from 1 species
AUUGAACGCUGGCGGCAGGCUUAACACAUGCAAGUCGAGCGGAGAUGAGGUGCUUGCACCUUAUCUUAGCGGCGGACGGGGGAGUAAUGCUUAGGAAUCUGCCUAUUGGUGGGGGACAACAUUCCGAAAGGAAUGCUAAUACCGCAUACGUCCUACGGGAGAAAGCAGGGGAUCUUCGGACCUUGCGCUAAUAGAUGAGCCUAAGUCGGAUUAGCUAGUUGGUGGGGUAAAGGCCUACCAAGGCGACGAUCUGUAGCGGGUCUGAGAGGAUGAUCCGCCACACUGGGACCGAGACACGGCCCAGACUCCUACGGGAGGCAGCAGUGGGGAAUAUUGGACAAUGGGGGAGACCCUGAUCCAGCCAUGCCGCGUGUGUGAAGAAGGCCUUAUGGUUGUAAAGCACUUUAAGCGAGGAGGAGGCUACUGAGACUAAUACUCUUGGAUAGUGGACGUUACUCGCAGAAUAAGCACCGGCUAACUCUGUGCCAGCCGCCGCUGUAA